rnacentral:rRNA from 1 species
UACGAAGGGGGCUAGCGUUGUUCGGAUUAACUGGGCGUAAAGGGCGCGUAGGCGGGUCUUUUAAGUCAGGGGUGAAAUCCCAAGGCUCAACCUUGGAACUGCCUUUGAUACUGGAGAUCUUGAGUCCGGGAGAGGUGAGUGGAACUGCGAGUGUAGAGGUGAAAUUCGUAGAUAUUCGCAAGAACACCAGUGGCGAAGGCGGCUUACUGGUCCGGUUCUGACGCUGAGGCGCGAAAAGCGUGGGGAGCAAACAGG